CAAGAUGUAAUUUAAAAAGAAUACUGGCUUUGGGGGUCAGUUGUGAGGGUUAAAUUCCUUCUAUCUUGA
rnacentral:tRNA from 1 species